GAUGAACGCUAGCUACAGGCUUAACACAUGCAAGUCGAGGGGAAACGACAUCGAAAGCUUGCUUUUGAUGGGCGUCGACCGGCGCACGGGUGAGUAACGCGUAUCCAACCUGCCCACCACUUGGGGAUAACCUUGCGAAAGUAAGACUAAUACCCAAUGAUAUCUCUAGAAGACAUCUGAAAGAGAUUAAAGAUUUAUCGGUGAUGGAUGGGGAUGCGUCUGAUUAGCUUGUUGGCGGGGUAACGGCCCACCAAGGCAACGAUCAGUAGGGGUUCUGAGAGAAAGGUCCCCCACAUUGGAACUGGGACACGGUCCAAACUCCUACGGAAGGCAGCAGUGAGGAAUAUUGGUCAAUGGACGAGAGUCUGAACCAGCCAAGUAGCGUGCAGAAAGACGGCCCUAUGGGUUGUAAACUGCUUUAUAAGGGAAUAAAGUGAGUCUCGUGAGACUUUUUGCAUGUACCUUAUGAAUAAGGACCGGCUAAUUCCGUG
rnacentral:rRNA from 1 species